rnacentral:rRNA from 1 species
GACGAACCGUGCGAACGUUGUUCGGAUUCACUGGGCUUAAAGGGCGCGUAGGCGGACUCGCAAGUCUGUGGUGAAAGCCCCCAGCUCAACUGGGGAAGUGCCGUGGAUACUGCAAGUCUGGAGGAGGGUAGGGGCAUCUGGAACGCUGGGUGGAGCGGUGAAAUGCGUUGAUAUCCAGCGGAACUCCGGUGGCGAAGGCGGCGCGCUGGACCUCUUCUGACGCUGAGGCGCGAAAGCCAGGGGAGCGAACGGG